UUCUAUGUCCAUAUUGCUGUAACCAUGCCUGAUCUCCUGUGAUUUAGAGCUAAGCACAGUCAGGCAUAUUAGUAAUUGAAUGGGAAUAUAUUAAAAGGUAAUUAGGUUUAGAUU
rnacentral:rRNA from 1 species